UACGAAGGGUCCAAGCGUUAUCCGGAUUUAUUGGGUUUAAAGGGUGCGUAGGCGGCUUGUUAAGUCAGUGGUGAAAGCCCGGAGCUCAACUCCGGAACUGCCAUUGAUACUGGCGAGCUUGAAUAUAGUUGAGGUAGGCGGAAUAUGACAUGUAGCGGUGAAAUGCUUAGAUAUGUCAUAGAACACCGAUUGCGAAGGCAGCUUGCUAAACUAUGAUUGACGCUGAGGCACUAAAGCGUGGGGAUCAAACAGG
rnacentral:rRNA from 1 species